ACGCAGCGGCUCUGCUCGCUCCCUCCCAUGGCGCCUCCACCUACCAGCUUCGCCCAGCAGCUAUGGCGCCCAAGCUCUCUGCUCCCUCCCUCUCCAAUGCAGCAGCACGUGAGCUCGCCCCCUCACUCCUCUUCCCUGUCACGGCCAGGAAACACCGGAUCUCGCGCCCUCUCUCUGGUUUGGGUGGAGCAGCACCUCCCCUGCUAUCUCCUCCCCGACGCCCCUUCGAGAUGGCACCCAACAGCCCCGGCACCUUCCCUGCUUCGUCUCGCUGCCACCGCUGCGCGCGUGCCAAGUGUUCGGCAAAAUGUCGAGGGAGACGUGUUGUUGCAGCACCGUCGACGCUCACCGGUUGGUCGCUGUUUUGCGCAUCCCAUCCGCGACGCCGUCGAAAACCGUGCUAGUGGUCGACGUCGUGCCUUGCCCGUUCGACGAAAUACCGAGCCAUGUGGACAGCCAUGCGUCUAGUCACGACCCGUUCAGGACCGAGAGAUGCUGAUCGUGCAAGUGAUGUGGUGCCCCCCCCCACAAGAUGCAGUCGGUGGACGACCUGAAGAAUGGACAUAACCAGUAGAUACUCGCCAAACGAGUAUCUCCCCAGCAAACACUACCUAAGUGUUAAAUUAAAG